rnacentral:rRNA from 1 species
CGUAGGGUGCGAGCGUUGUCCGGAAUUAUUGGGCGUAAAGGGCUCGUAGGCGGUUUGUCGCGUCGGGAGUGAAAACCCAGGGCUUAACCCUGGGCUGGCUUCCGAUACGGGCAGACUAGAGGUAUGCAGGGGAGAACGGAAUUCCUGGUGUAGCGGUGAAAUGCGCAGAUAUCAGGAGGAACACCGGUGGCGAAGGCGGUUCUCUGGGCAUUACCUGACGCUGAGGAGCGAAAGUGUGGGGAGCGAACAGGAUUAGAUACCCUGGUAGUCCACACCGUAAACGUUGGGCGCUAGGUGUGGGGUCCAUUCCACGGAUUCCGUGCCGCAGCUAACGCAUUAAGCGCCCCGCCUGGGGAGUACGGCCGCAAGGCUA